GUGGUGGUGCAAAUGUGCCUUUGUGGUAGAGCACGUGUUCCUGACAAGAUGAAACGCGGGUUCGAUUCCCGCCUGAGGCU